CGGAGGGUGCGAGCGUUGUCCGGAAUCACUGGGCGUAAAGGGCGCGUAGGCGGUGGGGUAAGCGUGUGGUGAAAGUCCGGGGCUCAACCCCGGAUCGGCCGUGCGAACUGCUUCACUUGAGCACUGUAGAGGCAGGUGGAAUUCCGGGUGUAGCGGUGGAAUGCGUAGAGAUCCGGAAGAACACCGGUGGCGAAGGCGGCCUGCUGGGCAGUGGCUGACGCUGAGGCGCGACAGCGUGGGGAGCAAACAGGAUU
rnacentral:rRNA from 1 species